rnacentral:rRNA from 1 species
CAGUAGCCGCGGGAACACGAACCGUGCAAACGUUACUCGGAAUCACUGGGCUUAAAGCGCACGUAGGCGGCGACAUAAGCUAGAGGUGAAAUCCCAUCGGCUCAACCGUGGAACUGCCUCUAAUACUGUGUUGCUUGAGGGAGAACGGGGCAUUCGGAACUUCCGGUGGAGCGGUGAAAUGUGUUGAUAUCGGAAGGAACGCCGGUGGCGAAAGCGGAAUGCCGGGUCUCUUCUGACGCUGAGGUGCGAAAGCUAGGGUAGCGAACGGGAUUAGAUACCCCCGUAGUCCCUGUCUCUUAUU